rnacentral:lncRNA from 1 species
ACGAAUGAAUGAAAACUAUCAACUUAUACUUAUAGCCCUCGGUCUCAUGGAGCCGCAAAAUUGCAGCUCUUUUCCUUUAUUCUCCUCCCUUGCUUUGGCAGUUCUUAUUUUCUUUCUCUUCUCUUCGCUUUUUGGACGCACACUUGCACGAUCACCACUUUCACUUCUUUUUGUUCUUUUCUUUCCUUUUUUCUUUUUCUAAUGCUAGCUGGGCCCCACACGAAGGCGGACGCAGCCAGCAAUAAACACAGAUCCUGGAAAUCGCCCCCGGCUUCUCCUCAAGCUUCCAUCUGUUGCGUCGGCAUCAUCAGUAGAUCCGACGGACUGCUGCUUCGGGAUCGGUCCAGGUACCGUACCUUCUCUGUCGUCGUCACGGUUCCGGUUGCCAGAAGCCCGAUCAUCGUCCCCAUUUCUUCUUGAAAAUCGUCUGUUUCGCUGUGAAAAUUGACCUGUACUCUCAAUUUCGUGCUCCAGAGACGGAGGAGCUGUGGGGGAGAUGCAGGCCAAGAAUCCCAGGGAAGCAACGAUUCGGCAGGGAAAGUGUACGGAAAGGUGAGGUUUUCGAGAGCUGUCGUUGGGAUUAACAUAUCCUUCAUCUUUUGCGAUUGUUCCGGAUUAUUAUAUCAGCAGCCUCCGUGGGGCGACUCGCCUCUCUCUCUCUCUCUCCUCCUCCUCCUCCUCCUCCCUCCGUCUCUCCCUCUCUCAAAAGUCAUGAGCCUCUGUUUUCGAUCGUCUCGACUCGUUAACUUUCUGAGAAACUGUUGGCUCUUUUCCUCAACUCGUUAUCAUAUUGAGUCGGAUCUUCUUCGUCUCCCAAAUCUGUACUGGUCAAUGAUAUGUCCCUUUGUUCCAAACACAUCGAGGCCACCGAGGAACUUCUCCUUUUCACGCGCUCCUCUCAUGCUCGCCACACGAUACGCCUGCGCACACACUCAGUUUUUUACUUGCUAGUCUGUCACACCACUUGUGAACAUCUGAGUUUAGUAGUCGCAAAAGAUUGAUAUUUACUCAAAAUGUAACUGGGUUUUAAUUUCCUCAAACUUUUGCAGAAGUUGGUGGUGAAAGUGGAACUACAUGAUGGCAGCCAAGAAAGAUGAUGGCAAGAAAAAAGAGGGAAAGAAGAACGAAGAUCAAGUCAACAAUCAGGUAAAAGCCUCUCAAGCAUACUAUCCUGGACAGCCCAGUGCUCUUCGGCACCUUGAUCUCCUUUUCUCACUCCUCCACUUCCAACCUACCCGAUGAUCAUUCUCCUAUCAAUCCUAAAUGUGCGAAAAAGAUUGACUAGCCCCUGACAUAAAUUUGGAAUCUCCGUUGAUUUUGUCGCCUAUACAAACGGAUCUCCAGUUUCCAGAAGUAGCGUUCGUCGGUUUAAGGAAAGUAGCUUGUGUUCAUAACGAUUAUCAAUCAGAAGCUUUCUUGCAAAACUUUCCUUAAGAUUGGCAAUUUAAUCAUCACUUUCUAUAUUUGAAAUCCUAGACAGAUUACUAGUUGUGUUGUUCAAAAUAGUGGCGCUUGCUUCUGAAUGUUUAUGUGGGCGUUGAUCUUCAGAUUCUGAUGUUGUUCCACUGUAGUGGACUCUGUAAAUAUUUCAAGGUUUUGACGAUCUCCGCGUAUAAGAUUUGCCGAUUUCCAUAUGGUCAAUAUCCAUGAUGUUGUUGAGAUGCNNNNNNNNNNNNNNNNNNNNNNNNNNNNNNNNNNNNNNNNNNNNNNNNNNNNNNNNNNNNNNNNNNNNNNNNNNNNNNNNNNNNNNNNNNNNNNNNNNNNCAGUUGAUUGAAUCUGAAACCACUUCUCUCAUGAGUAGUUCUGUAAAAAGAUACUGUUAUGCACGUAUCAGAUUCAAGACGAACCAAAGAAGAUUUUAUCAAUUUUCAAAAUUUUAUUAAUAGGUUUUCUCAAUAGUAAUUGUUAAUCGUAUAGCAUGAUGGUCUCUACUCGUGUGAAUAAUAAUUGUAGGAAUAUCAAAUGAUGCUUCAAAUUCUUAUUCAUUAUUGCUUACAUAUGGCCAAGUUGUUUAAACGCUAGUCUCUCACACCACAUCUGAUCAUCUGAGUUCAGUAGUCAUAAAAGAUUGAUAUUUACUCGAAAUCUAACUGGGUUUUGCUUUCCUCAAACUUUUGCAUAAGUUGGUGGUGAAAGUGGAUCUAGGUGAUGAGGAAGACAGGACAAAGGCCAAGCGAGUAGUUUGGCAUAUUGCAGGUAUUGGCCCUCUCCCUGUCUGUUUUUUCCCUUCAUUCUCCCACUGAAUGUUUAAAUCGUCACUGUGAUAGUAAUCAUCCUGUGCUCGAAAUGUUGGGCUUCGCUAACCUUUGUCACGUAAUGCUUUCCAGGAUUUGAGCGUCUGACUGUGGACAAAAAGCACAGUAAACUAACAGUAUCUGGCACUAUCGACCCGGUCAAGGUGGUGAACAAACUGACGAAACUGCACGCAGAAAUGGUGAGCUUCGGAGCAGCCAAGGAAGACGAUGGCAAGAAAGAAGGGGGAAAGAAGAACGAAGAUCAAGUCGCCAGUCAGGUAAAAGCCUCUCAAGCAUACUAUCCUGGACAGGCCAGUGCUCUUCGGCUCCUUGAUCUCCUUUUUUCACUCCUACUCUUCGAACCUACCCGAUGAUCAUUCUCCAAUCAAUCCUAAAUGUGCAAAAAAGAUUGACUAUUCCCGAAGAUAAAUUUGGAAUCUCCGUUGAUUUUGUCGCCUAUACAAACGGAUCUCCAGUUUCCAGAAGUAGCGUUCUUCGGUUUAAGGAAAGUAGCUUGUGUUCAUAACGAUUAUCAAUCAGAAGCUUUCUUGCAAAACUGUCCUUAAGAUUGGCAAUUUAAUCAUCACUUUCUAUAUUUCAAAUCCUAGACAGAUUACUAGUUGCGUUGUUCAAAAUAGUGUCGCUUGCAUCUGAAUGUUUAUGUGGGCGUUGAUCUUCGGAUUCUGAUGUUGUUUCACUGUAGUGGACUCUGUAAAUAUUUCAAGGUUUUGAAUAUCUCCACGUAUGAGAUUUGCCGAUAUCCAUAUGGUCAAUAUCCAUGAUGUUGUUGAGAUGCUAUCCAAAGAUAUUUGAACAACAACAGAAGGGUUCUGAAAAAUGUCAAGAUAUUCUCUUCUCUUCAUGGUCUCUAUAUUCAAAGAGCAGUUGAUUGAAUCUGAAACAACUUCUCUUCAUGAGUAGUUCCUGUAAAAAGAUACUGUUAUGCACGUAUCAGAUUCAAGACGAACCAAAGAAGAUUUUAUCAAUUUCAAAAUUUUAUUAAUAGGUUUUCUCAAUAGUAAUUGUUAAUCGUAUAGCAUGAUGGUCUCUACUCGUGUGAAUAAUAAUUGUAGGAAUAUCAAAUGAUGCUUCAAAUUCUUAUUCAUUAUUGAUUACAUAUGGCCAAGUUGUUUAAACGCUAGUCUGUCACACCACAUCUGAUCGUCUGAGUUCAGUAGUCAUAAAAGAUUGAUAUUUACUCGAAAUCUAACUGGGUUUUGCUUUCCUCAAACUUUUGCAGAAGUUGGUGGUGAAAAUGGAUAUAGGUGAUGAGGAAGCCAAGACAAAGGCCAAGCGAGUAGUUUGGCAUAUUGCAGGUAUUGGCCCUCUCCCUGUCUGUUUUUUCCCUUCAUUCUCCCACUGAAUGUUUAAAUCGUCACUGUGAUAGUAAUCAUCCUGUGCUCGAAAUGUUUGGCUUCGCUAACCUUUGUCACGUAAUGCUUUCCAGGAUUUGAGCGUCUGACUGUGGACACAGAGCUCAAUAAACUAACAGUAUCUGGCACUAUGGACCCGGUCAAGGUGGUGAACAAACUGACGAAACUGCACGCAGAAAUGGUGAGCUUCGGAGCAGCCAAGGAAGACGAUGGCAAGAAAGAAGGGGGAAAGAAGAACGAAGAUCAAGUCACCAGUCAGGUAAAAGCCUCUCAAGCAUACUAUCCUGGACAGGCCAGUGCUCUUCGGCUCCUUGAUCUCCUUUUUUCACUCCUACACUUCGAACCUACCCGAUGAUCAUUCUCCAAUCAAUCCUAAAUGUGCAAAAAAGAUUGACUAUUCCCGAAGAUAAAUUUGGAAUCUCCGUUGAUUUUGUCGCCUAUACAAACGGAUCUCCAGUUUCCAGAAGUAGCGUUCUUCGGUUUAAGGAAAGUAGCUUGUGUUCAUAACGAUUAUCAAUCAGAAGCUUUCUUGCAAAACUGUCCUUAAGAUUGGCAAUUUAAUCAUCACUUUCUAUAUUUCANNNNNNNNNNNNNNNNNNNNNNNNNNNNNNNNNNNNNNNNNNNNNNNNNNNNNNNNNNNNNNNNNNNNNNNNNNNNNNNNNNNNNNNNNNNNNNNNNNNNNNNNNNNNNNNNNNNNNNNNNNNNNNNNNNNNNNNNNNNNNNNNNNNAGAUUUGCCCCAUCCAAUGCAAUAUCCAUGAUGUUGUUGAGAUGCUAUCCAAAGAUAUUUGAACAACAACAGAAGGGUUCUGAAAAAUGUCAAGAUAUUCUCUUCUCUUCAUGGUCUCUAUAUUCAAAGAGCAGUUGAUUGAAUCUGAAACAACUUCUCUUCAUGAGUAGUUCCUGUAAAAAGAUACUGUUAUGCACGUAUCAGAUUCAAGACGAACCAAAGAAGAUUUUAUCAAUUUCAAAAUUUUAUUAAUAGGUUUUCUCAAUAGUAAUUGUUAAUCGUAUAGCAUGAUGGUCUCUACUCGUGUGAAUAAUAAUUGUAGGAAUAUCAAAUGAUGCUUCAAAUUCUUAUUCAUUAUUGAUUACAUAUGGCCAAGUUGUUUAAACGCUAGUCUGUCACACCACAUCUGAUCGUCUGAGUUCAGUAGUCAUAAAAGAUUGAUAUUUACUCGAAAUCUAACUGGGUUUUGCUUUCCUCAAACUUUUGCAUAAGUUGGUGGUGAAAGUGGAUCUAGGUGAUGAGGAAGACAGGACAAAGGCCAAGCGAGUAGUUUGGCAUAUUGCAGGUAUUGGCCCUCUCCCUGUCUGUUUUUUCCCUUCAUUCUCCCACUGAAUGUUUAAAUCGUCACUGUGAUAGUAAUCAUCAUGUGCUCGAAAUGUUGGGCUUCGCUAACCUUUGUCACGUAAUGCUUUCCAGGAUUUGAGCGUCUGACUGUGGACAAAAAGCACAGUAAACUAACAGUAUCUGGCACUAUGGACCCGGUCAAGGUGGUGAACAAACUGACGAAACUGCACGCAGAAAUGGUGAGCUUCGGAGCAGCCAAAGAAGACGAUGGCAAGAAAGAAGGGGGAAAGAAGAACGAAGAUCAAGUCGCCAGUCAGGUAAAAGCCUCUCAAGCAUACUAUCCUGGACAGGCCAGUGCUCUUCGGCUCCUUGAUCUCCUUUUUUCACUCCUACUCUUCGAACCUACCCGAUGAUCAUUCUCCAAUCAAUCCUAAAUGUACAAAAAAGAUUGACUAUUCCCGAAGAUAAAUUUGGAAUCUCCGUUGAUUUUGUCGCCUAUACAAACGGAUCUCCAGUUUCCAGAAGUAACGUUCUUCAAUUUAAGGAAAGUAGCUUGUGUUCAUAACGAUUAUCAAUCAGAAGCUUUCUUGCAAAACUGUCCUUAAGAUUGGCAAUUUAAUCAUCACUUUCUAUAUUUGAAAUCCUAGACAGAUUACUAGUUGUGUUGUUCAAAAUAGUGGCGCUUGCGUCUGAAUGUUUAUGUGGGAGUUGAUCUUCAGAUUCUCAUGUUGUUCCACUGUAGUGGACUCUGUAAAUAUUUCAAGGUUUUGACGAUCUCCGCGUAUCAGAUUUGCCGAUAUCCAUAUGGUCAAUAUCCAUGAUGUUGUUGAGAUGCUAUACAAAGAUAUUUGAACAACAACAGAAGGGUUCUGAAAAAUGUCAAGAUAUUGACUUCUCUUCAUGGUCUCUAUAUUCAAAGAGCAGUUGAUUGAAUCUGAAACAACUUCUCUUCAUGAGUAGUUCCUGUAAAAAGAUACUCAUAUGCACGUAUCAGAUUCAAGACGAACCAAAGAAGAUUUUAUCAAUUUCAAAAUUUUAUUGAUAGGUUUUCUCAAUAGUAAUUGUUAAUCGUAUAGCAUGAUGGUCUCUACUCGUGUGAAUAAUAAUUGUAGGAAUAUCAAAUGAUGCUUCAAAUUCUUAUCCAUUAUUGAUUACAUAUGGCCAAGUUGUUUAAACGCUAGUCUGUCACCCCACAUGUGAUCGUCUGAGUUCAGUAGUCGUAAAAGAUUGAUAUUUACUCGAAAUCUAACUGGGUUUUGCUUUCCUCAAACUUUUGCAGAAGUUGGUGGUGAAAAUGGAUAUAGGUGAUGAGGAAGCCAAGACAAAGGCCAAGCGAGUAGUUUGGCAUAUUGCAGUAUUGGCCCUCUCCCUGUCUGUUUUUUCCCUUCAUUCUCCACUGAAUGUUUAAAUCGUCACUGUGAUAGUAAUCAUCCUGUGCUCGAAAUGUUUGGCUUCGCUAACCUUUGUCACGUAAUGCUUUCCAGGAUUUGAGCGUCUGACUGUGGACACAGAGCUCAAUAAACUAACAGUAUCUGGCACUAUGGACCCGGUCAAGGUGGUGAACAAACUGACGAAACUGCACGCAGAAAUGGUGAGCUUCGGAGCAGCCAAGGAAGACGAUGGCAAGAAAGAAGGGGGAAAGAAGAACGAAGAUCAAGUCGCCAGUCAGGUAAAAGCCUCUCAAGCAUACUAUCCUGGACAGGCCAGUGCUCUUCGGCUCCUUGAUCUCCUUUUUUCACUCCUACACUUCGAACCUACCCGAUGAUCAUUCUCCAAUCAAUCCUAAAUGUGCAAAAAAGAUUGACUAUUCCCGAAGAUAAAUUUGGAAUCUCCGUUGAUUUUGUCGCCUAUACAAACGGAUCUCCAGUUUCCAGAAGUAGCGUUCUUCGGUUUAAGGAAAGUAGCUUGUGUUCAUAACGAUUAUCAAUCAGAAGCUUUCUUGCAAAACUGUCCUUAAGAUUGGCAAUUUAAUCAUCACUUUCUAUAUUUCAAAUCCUAGACAGAUUACUAGUUGCGUUGUUCAAAAUAGUGUCGCUUGCAUCUGAAUGUUUAUGUGGGCGUUGAUCUUCGGAUUCUGAUGUUGUUUCACUGUAGUGGACUCUGUAAAUAUUUCAAGGUUUUGAAUAUCUCCACGUAUGAGAUUUGCCGAUAUCCAUAUGGUCAAUAUCCAUGAUGUUGUUGAGAUGCUAUCCAAAGAUAUUGGAACAACAACAGAAGGGUUCUGAAAAAUGUCAAGAUAUUGACUUCUCUUCAUGGUCUCCAUAUUCAAAGAGCAGUUGAUUGAAUCUGAAACAACUUCUCUUCAUGAGUAGUUCCUGUAAGAUGAUACCGUUAUGCACGUAUCAGAUUCAAGACGAACCAAAGAAGAUUUUAUCAAUUUCAAAAUUUUAUUAAUAGGUUUUCUCAAUAGUAAUUGUUAAUCGUAUAGCAUGAUGGUCUCUACUCGUGUGAAUAAUAAUUGUAGGAAUAUCAAAUGAUGCUUCAAAUUCUUAUUCAUUAUUGCUUACAUAUGGCCAAGUUGUUUAAACGCUAGUCUCUCACACCACAUCUGAUCAUCUGAGUUCAGUAGUCAUAAAAGAUUGAUAUUUACUCGAAAUCUAACUGGGUUUUGCUUUCCUCAAACUUUUGCAUAAGUUGGUGGUGAAAGUGGAUCUAGGUGAUGAGGAAGACAGGACAAAGGCCAAGCGAGUAGUUUGGCAUAUUGCAGGUAUUGGCCCUCUCCCUGUCUGUUUUUUCCCUUCAUUCUCCCACUGAAUGUUUAAAUCGUCACUGUGAUAGUAAUCAUCCUGUGCUCGAAAUGUUGGGCUUCGCUAACCUUUGUCACGUAAUGCUUUCCAGGAUUUGAGCGUCUGACUGUGGACAAAAAGCACAGUAAACUAACAGUAUCUGGCACUAUGGACCCGGUCAAGGUGGUGAACAAACUGACGAAACUGCACGCAGAAAUGGUGAGCUUCGGAGCAGCCAAAGAAGACGAUGGCAAGAAAGAAGGGGGAAAGAAGAACGAAGAUCAAGUCGCCAGUCAGGUAAAAGCCUCUCAAGCAUACUAUCCUGGACAGGCCAGUGCUCUUCGGCUCCUUGAUCUCCUUUUUUCACUCCUACUCUUCGAACCUACCCGAUGAUCAUUCUCCAAUCAAUCCUAAAUGUGCAAAAAAGAUUGACUAUUCCCGAAGAUAAAUUUGGAAUCUCCGUUGAUUUUGUCGCCUAUACAAACGGAUCUCCAGUUUCCAGAAGUAGCGUUCUUCAAUUUAAGGAAAGUAGCUUGUGUUCAUAACGAUUAUCAAUCAGAAGCUUUCUUGCAAAACUGUCCUUCAGAUUGGCAAUUUAAUCAUCACUUUCUAUAUUUGAAAUCCUAGACAGAUUACUAGUUGUGUUGUUCAAAAUAGUGGCGCUUGCGUCUGAAUGUUUAUGUGGGCGUUGAUCUUCAGAUUCUGAUGUUGUUCCACUGUAGUGGACUCUGUAAAUAUUUCAAGGUUUUGACGAUCUCCGCAUAUCAGAUUUGCCGAUAUCCAUAUGGUCAAUAUCCAUGAUGUUGUUGAGAUGCUAUACAAAGAUAUUUGAACAACAACAGAAGGGUUCUGAAAAAUGUCAAGAUAUUGACUUCUCUUCAUGGUCUCUAUAUUCAAAGAGCAGUUGAUUGAAUCUGAAACAACUUCUCUUCAUGAGUAGUUCCUGUAAGAAGAUACUGUUAUGCACGUAUCAGAUUCAAGACGAACCAAAGAAGAUUUUAUCAAUUUCAAAAUUUUAUUGAUAGGUUUUCUCAAUAGUAAUUGUUAAUCGUAUAGCAUGAUGGUCUCUACUCGAGUGAAUAAUAAUUGUAGGAAUAUCAAAUGAUGCUUCAAAUUCUUAUCCAUUAUUGAUUACAUAUGGCCAAGUUGUUUAAACGCUAGUCUGUCACCCCACAUGUGAUCGUCUGAGUUCAGUAGUCGUAAAAGAUUGAUAUUUACUCGAAAUCUAACUGGGUUUUGCUUUCCUCAAACUUUUGCAGAAGUUGGUGGUGAAAAUGGAUAUAGGUGAUGAGGAAGCCAAGACAAAGGCCAAGCGAGUAGUUUGGCAUAUUGCAGGUAUUGGCCCUCUCCCUGUCUGUUUUUUCCCUUCAUUCUCCCACUGGAUGUUUAAAUCGUCACUGUGAUAGUAAUCAUCCUGUGCUCGAAAUGUUUGGCUUCGCUAACCUUUGUCACGUAAUGCUUUCCAGGAUUUGAGCGUCUGACUGUGGACACAGAGCUCAAUAAACUAACAGUAUCUGGCACUAUGGACCCGGUCAAGGUGGUGAACAAACUGACGAAACUGCACGCAGAAAUGGUGAGCUUCGGAGCAGCCAAGGAAGACAAUGGCAAGAAAGAAGGGGGACAGAAGAACGAAGAUCAAGUCGCCAGUCAGGUAAAAGCCUCUCAAGCAUACUAUCCUGGACAGGCCAGUGCUCUUCGGCUCCUUGAUCUCCUUUUUUCACUCCUACACUUCGAACCUACCCGAUGAUCAUUCUCCAAUCAAUCCUAAAUGUGCAAAAAAGAUUGACUAUUCCCGAAGAUAAAUUUGGAAUCUCCGUUGAUUUUGUCGCCUAUACAAACGGAUCUCCAGUUUCCAGAAGUAGCGUUCUUCGGUUUAAGGAAAGUAGCUUGUGUUCACAACGAUUAUCAAUCAGAAGCUUUCUUGCAAAACUGUCCUUCAGAUUGGCAAUUUAAUCAUCACUUUCUAUAUUUGAAAUCCUAGACAGAUUACUAGUUGCGUUGUUCAAGAUAGUGGCGCUUGCAUCUGAAAGUUUAUGUGGGCGUUGAUCUUCGGAUUCUGAUGUUGUUUCACUGUAGUGGACUCUGUAAAUAUUUCAAGGUUUGGAAUAUCUCCACGUAUCAGAUUUGCCGAUAUCCAUAUGGUCCAUAUCCAUGAUGUUGUUGAGAUGCUAUCCAAAGAUAUUUGAACAACAACAGAAGGGUUCUGAAAAAUGUCAAGAUAUUGACUUCUCUUCAUGGUCUCCAUAUUCAAAGAGCAGUUGAUUGAAUCUGAAACAACUUCUCUUCAUGAGUAGUUCCUGUAAGAUGAUACCGUUAUGCACGUAUCAGAUUCAAGACGAACCAAAGAAGAUUUUAUCAAUUUCAAAAUUUUAUUAAUAGGUUUUCUCCAUAGUAAUUGUUAAUCGUAUAGCAUGAUGGUCUCUACUCGUGUGAAUAAUAAUUGUAGGAAUAUCAAAUGAUGCUUCAAAUUCUUAUUCAUUAUUGCUUACAUAUGGCCAAGUUGUUUAAACGCUAGUCUCUCACACCACAUCUGAUCAUCUGAGUUCAGUAGUCAUAAAAGAUUGAUAUUUACUCGAAAUCUAACUGGGUUUUGCUUUCCUCAAACUUUUGCAUAAGUUGGUGGUGAAAGUGGAUCUAGGUGAUGAGGAAGACAGGACAAAGGCCAAGCGAGUAGUUUGGCAUAUUGCAGGUAUUGGCCCUCUCCCUGUCUGUUUUUUCCCUUCAUUCUCCCACUGAAUGUUUAAAUCGUCACUGUGAUAGUAAUCAUCCUGUGCUCGAAAUGUUGGGCUUCGCUAACCUUUGUCACGUAAUGCUUUCCAGGAUUUGAGCGUCUGACUGUGGACAAAAAGCACAGUAAACUAACAGUAUCUGGCACUAUCGACCCGGUCAAGGUGGUGAACAAACUGACGAAACUGCACGCAGAAAUGGUGAGCUUCGGAGCAGCCAAGGAAGACGAUGGCAAGAAAGAAGGGGGAAAGAAGAACGAAGAUCAAGUCGCCAGUCAGGUAAAAGCCUCUCAAGCAUACUAUCCUGGACAGGCCAGUGCUCUUCGGCUCCUUGAUCUCCUUUUUUCACUCCUACUCUUCGAACCUACCCGAUGAUCAUUCUCCAAUCAAUCCUAAAUGUGCAAAAAAGAUUGACUAUUCCCGAAGAUAAAUUUGGAAUCUCCGUUGAUUUUGUCGCCUAUACAAACGGAUCUCCAGUUUCCAGAAGUAGCGUUCUUCAAUUUAAGGAAAGUAGCUUGUGUUCAUAACGAUUAUCAAUCAGAAGCUUUCUUGCAAAACUGUCCUUAAGAUUGGCAAUUUAAUCAUCACUUUCUAUAUUUCAAAUCCUAGACAGAUUACUAGUUGCGUUGUUCAAAAUAGUGGCGAUUGCGUCUGAAUGUUUAUGUGGGCGUUGAUCUUCGGAUUCUGAUGUUGUUUCACUGUAGUGGACUCUGUAAAUAUUUCAAGGUUUUGAAUAUCUCCCCGUAUGAGAUUUGCCGAUAUCCAUAUGGUCAAUAUCCAUGAUGUUGUUGAGAUGCUAUCCAAAUAUAUUUGAACAACAACAGAAGGGUUCUGAAAAAUGUCAAGAUAUUGACUUCUCUUCAUGGUCUCCAUAUUCAAAGAGCAGUUGAUUGAAUCUGAAACAACUUCUCUUCAUGAGUAGUUCCUGUAAGAUGAUACCGUUAUGCACGUAUCAGAUUCCAGACGAACCAAAGAAGAUUUUAUCAAUUUCAAAAUUUUAUUAAUAGGUUUUCUCAAUAGUAAUUGUUAAUCGUAUAGCAUGAUGGUCUCUACUCGUGUGAAUAAUAAUUGUAGGAAUAUCAAAUGAUGCUUCAAAUUCUUAUCCAUUAUUGAUUACAUAUGGCCAAGUUGUUUAAACGCUAGUCUGUCACACCACAUGUGAUCAUCUGAGUUCAGUAUGCGUAAAAGAUUGAUAUUUACUCGAAAUCUAACUGGGUUUUGCUUUCCUCAAACUUUUGCAGAAGUUGGUGGUGAAAGUGGAUCUAGGUGAUGAGGAAGACAGGACAAAGCCCAAGCGAGUAGUCUGGCAUAUUGCAGGU